CACAGGUCAGCCACAAAGGCUUGUCAAAGCGCAGAAAGAAUGCAUUCCAUCUACAUGAUCUUCACCACUCUGGCAACAACCGCUCUGGCAAAAGGGUCUAUUGAAUGUAACUUCUCUGAACCUACCGAAGCUCGAUGUUUUGGAACAGCAGGGCAGCCGUUGCUUUUUCAUCUGAG